CUAUCUCCUUGAAUUGUACCCAGAAACACCUUGGUAACCAGCCCAGCCUUUGCAGAACUAAUGGAAUAUUUUUCUGCCAGUGAGUAGAGCUGUUGCCUUCUAGACCAAGAUUUCUAGGGACACUUCAGAGGUAAUUCCAGACAAUGUGCAUUACAGUAAUCAAAUUGAAAUGUAAAUCUUUACUGUAGGUAGCACCAGAAGUCCUCCUCUGGAGAAAAAGGAAGAAGAGCAAGCUUUCGUGGAUCUUGUAGCUGAUCUUUCAUUUGAUAGAUUAAUUUCCCAGGAUAAGAAAUAUGAGAAACUCAGGACUGAUGACUGAAGCUGACUUUGAACGUGUUCCCUGCCUCACAUCAUUUGCAAGUAAAUCACUCUCCAGUCUGGAUUGUCCCUCCUCCUCUGCAUGCUUCUGUUCCAUUUCUUGGUCACAUGCAAGUAGCUGGCACGGGUUCCUACUGAGACUGUUUGCGUACUUCCAUUUAGCUCACACUGGCAUCUUCGGUGGGUGGGUGGGGGUUCUAUCAGCUUCAAAGUAUAUAUUUUCAGCAGUUACUUGGCAAAUGUAGGAUAGAAUUUGAUCAUCCUUUUACUUGUAUAGUUAGUGGAGAGUAUGAAAAAUAGAAUGAGAUUUAGAUUGGGUAGAAAGCUUACAACAGCUCUUUCAUUAGUAUCAAAAUAAGCCAAAACUGUGCACAUUUUUAGUAACAUUUCCAGCAUGGUUUCUUAGUGGAAACAAUCCAACAGGCUCAUGUGUAUACUUAUACGGGAUGUAUUGAUUACACCUGGGAUCGGUAAUACCUGUUCUUAGGUGCUUACAUUUGUGUUGAAGAAAGCAUGCUUCCAUCCACACCAUUUGCAUCCACACCACUUGCAUCCACCACUUGCAUCCACCCAGAUGUGGAACAGCCCACAGGGGGCUAACUUGGGUGAUUUCAAACAGGUAUGUGGUCCUUGGUAGCUGUUUCAAAAUGGUUCAAGCAAUAUGGAAGGCAGACAUCUGAGGAACUGAGGCAAGCAACCAUGACAAGAAUUGAAAUAUUAAACCUUGGGAAUUGCAGACUGGGGCAGCAUUAGGGGACAGUGUACCUACCAAUUAAGUUCUAUUUUUGUUUCUUUGUUUAAAGGACAAGGGUCCAAAUAUGUGUGGCUGGUGACUUGAACCCUUGUGAUAAGAUAGGACCAAAAAUCCAAAUAAUUUUAAUCCUGAUUUUAUGUUUUAAACUUUUUGUAUUUUGUUUUUAACAACUGUUAUGACUUAGAGUGUUCUCAAUCUUUCAGCCUUGAGUGGAUGAGGAAAAUAGUGCUGUAGAUGAGGAUGGCACCUUUAUCAACUCCCUCCCACAUGUUUCAUUCUCUUUUGUUCCUUAUUGCCUCCUUCCUAUAUGUUAUAUGAACUCCUACAUGGCUACACAUUCUUACAGUAAAGCCCCCUCUGCUUUUUCUUCUUCAGUCUAAAUGGGUCUACAUCACAGCAUCAGGAAGAAAUAUUUUGUCCAUGGUUUCUGUGUUGCCCAUCUAUUUUCUACAACCAACCAAAUGGAUGAUUGAAGUGCCUCAUCUUAUUGUUUCUAUUUAUAUAUUAAAUAGAUCAUUGAUCCUCAAAGAGUUCAGGGUUGAUGCAUGAUUCUGAAACUCUACAUUUUAUCCUCAGAAUAAGUCAUGUUGUAGGUUACACUUGUGGGUAGUUUUGAAUUUGGAUCUCCUCAGGAUUAGUCCAGUAUUUUGCCACUACAACUCUCGGGCUAUGCAGAUCAUCCAAGGUCUGAUUGAAAUUUGAGACUGAAAAUCUAAAGUUAGAAUGACUUGAUCUGAAUUGGAGAUUCAAGAGCCCAAAGCACCAAGACUCAAUUGGACUUCAUUGAGCAUACAAGUUUGACUUCAAUAAAAAAAUGACCAUUGGCUAUAAUAGGGAGCUAUAAAAAAUAUCUUUAGCUAAUUCAUUUUUGAGCAAAAUGGGAUGCAAAUAGCAGCAGUGGUAUACGUUUUAGAAGAGAUGAACCCCACCAGGUUUCAGCAGGGUACUUCAAAGGUUUCACUGCAGUAAAAA